rnacentral:rRNA from 1 species
AUGAACGGUCAUACCAUGCUGAAAACACCAGUUUUCGUCUGAUCACUGCUGUUAAACAACGUUGGGCACGGUUGGUACUUGGGUGGGUGGUGAUCACCUGCGAACACCGUGUACUGUUGGCG